GAGACCCCAAACAGAACUUAUGGAUCACUUUUCACAGAGGAAUUCUGAAACACAUCAUCAUGUCCACAUCAAGGUGAUGAAAUUCAGCAUAUAAACUUUAUCAGACCAGAGGGUAUCUGCGAUCAACAUGUCCGGAAGAAAACGACACAGCGCCGUAUGGGAGUUUUUCGAAUAAAAUGCUGAAAGCAACAGCAGUAAAUGCAUAGUGUUGGAGCAGGGUGCGUUGUAUGCUGUACAGAUUAAAGGUAUCCUGUAUUUACUCAACUUGAGUGGAUUUAAUUACAUUACAUGCACAUAUAUUUAAGCAUGAGCAGCAAAUAGCUCAGAAAGAAAAGGAAAAGGAAAGUGAAAAGGCUGUAAAAGUUUUGCCAAAGUCUACAUCUAAACUGGCCAAAAGUUCAUGGUACAGCCUGCUAGAGACUGACUUGGAACAGACAGGCGAAGGAACAGAUCUGCCAGGACCCAGCACAUCAGCUCCAACUGUGAGCAAAAGUGGGAGCGAACCUGCUAGUGAGGCAGGCAAGCAGAAUUUGUCGAUUCCAGGAGGAUUAUUGAGCUGAGCAUGGCCUCCUCAUCCCUGCUGUCAACUACAGCUAAUACACCCCCGUGAGUCAGCAGCAUUAACCCCAACUAGACUCACAACUCCUCCUACGGAGUACAGAGAAGACUGACACAAACUGCUGAAGGUAAUUCUUUCUGCACUCAUUGGGGGGACAUAAGUGAUAUAAAGAACGAUAUAAACAAGGAUAUAAGGGAUAUAAACAAAGAAAUAAAGGAAAUAAACAAGGAAAAUUACAAAGAGCUUCAGGAUAUAAAAGACCUGGAGAAAUGUUAAGUACUAACUUUAAGUACUAACUUUACUGCAACCUUUCAAGAAAUUCUAGAAAGAACUAAUGAAAAAAUACUGGAAAAUAUAAGCAAGUUUAAAAGUAAAAUUAAAGUACCUGGUGCUCAGCUUGAAGAUUUUAAGUAAAUGUUUACGACUCGUCUUGAAAUAGUCAAACAAUCAAAAUCCACUGCUAACGGAGAAGCAACAGCAGCAAAAUCAUAAUGCAAAGUGCUUGGUGACAAACUAACUGCACUGGAAGAUAGAUAUAGAAUGAAAACAUCAGAAUCGAAGGUCUCCCUUAAAAAUAUGAAAGUUCAAACCCAGUGAAGUUCAUAGCUAAAUUAUUCUCUAAAAUUACUAGAGAGGACUUCAAAUUGGACACCGUCAUCUCAGCAGCUUACAGUAUAUGCGGACCGAAUGCCUCAAAACUGAGAAACUCAAUUAUCUGUUUCGACAAACUACAGGUUAAAGAAAACUUGAUGUCGCUUUCAGACUGAAAGAGAUUAUAUCUGAAAAUAGUUUAAUUUGUAUUUUCCCAGAUUUCUUCUUUUCAAAUAGCUGCUAAAUGCAUCUCAUUCUACAGCAUUAAACAGUGCUUACGCAAAGCCGAAAUCUGAUAUAGUCUCUUGUUUCCUGCCAAACUGAAAGUGGUUUUUGAAGGUCACUUUAAAAUUUUUAGUUCUCUAGUUAAAGUAGAAAAGGAGCUAAGAAGAUUGAUCCCAAAAUAUUGUAUUUGGACCAUACCAUUAUAAGAUAUCUCAAUUUUAAUAUAUUCUACAUCGCUGCUUAGGGGCGGGCAUGGUUUACCGGGACUGAAAUGUGGUCUAGCCUCACUUGGGGAGGCAAAAAAAAAAAAUGGGGAUGUGAAAGAAAGAGAGCAAUGCCAUUUCUUAUUUAUCCCUUCUACCACAAUAAGUAUAAGUGGCAAAAUAACAAUAGGCUACAUAGCCACAAGA